rnacentral:rRNA from 1 species
GACGAACGCUGGCGGCGUGCCUAAUACAUGCAAGUUGAGCGCUGAAGGUUGGUACUUGUACCCACUGGAUGAGCAGCGAACGGGUGAGUAACGCGUGGGGAAUCUGCCUUUGAGCGGGGGACAACAUUUGGAAACGAAUGCUAAUACCGCAUAAAAACUUUAAACACAAGUUUUAAGUUUGAAAGAUGCAAUUGCAUCACUCAAAGAUGAUCCCGCGUUGUAUUAGCUAGUUGGUGAGGUAAAGGCUCACCAAGGCGAUGAUACACAGCCGACCUGAGAGGGUGAUCGGCCACAUUGGGACUGAGACACGGCCCAAACUCCUACGGGAGGCAGCAGUAGGGAAUCUUCGGCAAUGGACGAAAGUCUGACCGAGCAACGCCGCGUGAGUGAAGAAGGUUUUCGGAUCGUAAAACUCUGUUGGUAGAGAAGAACGUUGGUGAGAGUGGAAAGCUCAUCAAGUGACGGUAACUACCCAGAAAGGGACGGCUAACUACGUG